rnacentral:rRNA from 1 species
CCCUUAGACGUUCUGGGCCGCACGCGCGCUACACUGACCAGUGCAACAAGCAUCCGUCCUUGGCCGACAGGCCCGGGCAAUCUUUGAACGCUGAUCGUGAUGGGGAUAGACUUUUGCAAUUUUUGGUCUUCAACGAGGAAUUCCUAGUAAACGCAAGUCAUCAACUUGCAUUGAUUACGUCCCUGCCCUUUGUACACACCGCCCGUCGCACCUACCGAUUGAAUGGUCCGGUGAAAUCUCGGGACGGCGGCUUGGUCGCUUGCGUCCGACUGCUGAAACUUGAUUAAACCAUAUCAUUUAGAGGAAGGUGAANUCGUAACA